AGAGUUUGAUCAUGGCUCAGGACGAACGCUGGCGGCGUGCUUAACACAUGCAAGUCGAGCGGUAAGGCCCCUUCGGGGGUACACGAGCGGCGAACGGGUGAGUAACACGUGAGCAAUCUGCCCUUCACACAGGGAUAACCUCGGGAAACCGAUGCUAAUACCUGAUACGACCACUUCAGGCAUCUGAUGGUGGUGGAAAGUUCUGGCGGUGAAGGAUGAGCUCGCGGCCUAUCAGCUUGUUGGUGGGGUAAUGGCCUACCAAGGCAACGACGGGUAGCCGGCCUGAGAGGGUGACCGGCCACACUGGGACUGAGACACGGCCCAGACUCCUACGGGAGGCAGCAGUGGGGAAUAUUGGACAAUGGGCGAAAGCCUGAUCCAGCAACGCCGCGUGAGGGAUGACGGCCUUCGGGUUGUAAACCUCUUUCAGCAGGGACGAAGCGCAAGUGACGGUACCUGCAGAAGAAGCACCGGCCAACUACGUGCCAGCAGCCGCGGUAAUACGUAGGGUGCGAGCGUUGUCCGGAAUUAUUGGGCGUAAAGGGCUCGUAGGCGGUUUGUCGCGUCGGGAGUGAAAACUCAGGGCUUAACCCUGAGCCUGCUUCCGAUACGGGCAGACUAGAGGUAUGCAGGGGAGAACGGAAUUCCUGGUGUAGCGGUGAAAUGCGCAGAUAUCAGGAGGAACACCGGUGGCGAAGGCGGUUCUCUGGGCAUUACCUGACGCUGAGGAGCGAAAGUGUGGGGAGCGAACAGGAUUAGAUACCCUGGUAGUCCACACCGUAAACGUUGGGCGCUAGGUGUGGGACUCAUUCCACGAGUUCCGUGCCGCAGCUAACGCAUUAAGCGCCCCGCCUGGGGAGUACGGCCGCAAGGCUAAAACUCAAUGAAUUGACGG
rnacentral:rRNA from 1 species